GUAGAUAUGAAGCUGAACUCGUGUGAGAACGAGCCGUAAAACAGCAGAAUGAUGAGAGCAAACAACCACUCCAAUACUGCAGCUCCAUGCUGGAGAAUAAAACUUUCCUGAACAAAAAAUACACCACCUACAGGACAAAAAGACACAUGGUAGAUUUUCAUAAUUUGGGUACAGAGGAGUCAAAAUGUUUACUUCAUAUUAAACAUGUAUACCUCACAACAUUUAAACUGAUGUGGACUUCUAAGCUGUACGGUACGACAACAGCGUCUGGACGCACACAAACAACAGACUGCCAGGAAAAGACAAACCUGCACCAACAUAGUGAAAAACUUUAGCAUGAUCCACCUGCAGAAAACAAACACAAACACAUAAUGAUCAUCAGAGCAAACACUGAGAAAUGAUCAUCUACAUACAAUAAAUAAAUGAGUAAUAGACUCGUGACGUGUUCAGCAUGGAGAGACUUUAUAUUUCUUUGCUUUGAUAGUUUAUUUCGGUCACAUUUGAGCUGAUGUGUAUGUUUGUGUUUUGUCACUGAUGAUUUAUAGAUCAACCCUUGCUUAAACUUUCAAGUCUGAAUCAAAUCUUAUUUUACUGAAAGAG